rnacentral:rRNA from 1 species
AAGCGGAGGAAAAGAAACCAACAGGGAUUGCCUCAGUAGCGGCGAGUGAAGCGGCAAAAGCUCAAAUUUGAAAUCUGGCGUCUUUGGCGUCCGAGUUGUAAUUUGAAGAAGGUAUCUUUGGGCCCGGCUCUUGUCUAUGUUCCUUGGAACAGGACGUCACAGAGGGUGAGAAUCCCGUGCGAUGAGAUGACCCGGGUCUGUGUAAAGUUCCUUCGACGAGUCGAGUUGUUUGGGAAUGCAGCUCUAAGUGGGUGGUAAAUUCCAUCUAAAGCUAAAUAUUGGCGAGAGACCGAUAGCGAACAAGUACAGUGAUGGAAAGAUGAAAAGAACUUUGAAAAGAGAGUGAAAAAGUACGUGAAAUUGUUGAAAGGGAAGGGCUUGAGAUCAGACUUGGUAUUUUGCAUGCUGCUCUCUCGGGGGCGGCCGCUGCGGUUUACCGGGCCAGCAUCGGUUUGGAGCGGCAGGAUAAUGGCGGAGGAAUGUGGCACGGCUUCUGCUGUGUGUUAUAGCCUCUGACGAUACUGCCAGCCUAGACCGAGGACUGCGGUUUUUAACCUAGGAUGUUGGCAUAAUGAUCUUAAGUCGCCCGUCUUGAA